GAGGAAUAUUGGUCAAUGGACGAGAGUCUGAACCAGCCAAGUAGCGUGAAGGAUGACUGCCCUAUGGGUUGUAAACUUCUUUUAUACGGGAAUAAAGUUAGCCACGUGUGGCUUUUUGUAUGUACCGUAUGAAUAAGGAUCGGCUAACUCCGUGCCAGCAGCCGCGGUAAUACGGAGGAUCCGAGCGUUAUCCGGAUUUAUUGGGUUUAAAGGGAGCGUAGGCGGGUUGUUAAGUCAGUUGUGAAAGUUUGCGGUUCAACCGUAAAAUUGCAGUUGAUACUGGCGACCUUGAGUGCAACAGAGGUAGGCGGAAUUCGUGGUGUAGCGGUGAAAUGCUUAGAUAUCACGAAGAACUCCGAUUGCGAAGGCAGCUUACUGGAUUGUAACUGACGCUGAUGCUCGAAAGUGUGGGUAUCAAACAGGAUUAGAUACCCUGGUAGUCCACACAGUAAACGAUGAAUACUCGCUGUUGGCGAUAUACGGUCAGCGGCCAAGCGAAAGCAUUAAGUAUUCCACCUGGGGAGUACGCCGGCAACGGUGAAACUCAAAGGAAUUGACGGGGGCCCGCACAAGCGGAGGAACAUGUGGUUUAAUUCGAUGAUACGCGAGGAACCUUACCCGGGCUUAAAUUGCAACUGACUGAACCGGAAACGGUUCUUUCUUCGGACAGUUGUGAAGGUGCUGCAUGGUUGUCGUCAGCUCGUGCCGUGAGGUGUCGGCUUAAGUGCCAUAACGAGCGCAACCCUUAUCGAUAGUUACUAGCAGGUCAUGCUGAGGACUCUAUUGAGACUGCCGUCGUAAGAUGUGAGGAAGGUGGGGAUGACGUCAAAUCAGCACGGCCCUUACGUCCGGGGCUACACACGUGUUACAAUGGGGGGUACAGAAGGCAGCUACACGGCGACGUGGUGCUAAUCCCGAAAGCCUCUCUCAGUUCGGAUUGGAGUCUGCAACCCGACUCCAUGAAGCUGGAUUCGCUAGUAAUCGCGCAUCAGCCACGGCGCGGUGAAUACGUUCCCG
rnacentral:rRNA from 1 species